UGCGAAGGGGGCUAGCGUUGCUCGGAAUCACUGGGCGUAAAGCGCACGUAGGCGGCUUUCUAAGUCAGGGGUGAAAUCCUGGAGCUCAACUCCAGAACUGCCUUUGAUACUGGAGAGCUUGAGUCCGGGAGAGGUGAGUGGAACUCCGAGUGUAGAGGUGAAAUUCGUAGAUAUUCGGAAGAACACCAGUGGCGAAGGCGGCUCACUGGCCCGGUACUGACGCUGAUGUGCGAAAGCGUGGGGAGCAAACAGG
rnacentral:rRNA from 1 species